UCGAGGAGGAGGGUGAGCCUCUUCUCGGGACUUUCUCCCCGGCUCCGGGAAGCGCGGCCCGUUCCCUUGGCUGCGGUGGCAAGGGCAGAACGCGGGCCGCCCCCUCCUCGAGCCGCCUCAGGGCUGCAGGGUCCGGAGUGGGCCGAGCAGGGACAGGCGGACGGGCAGCGGCAGCCCGAGAGGACCGUGAGGGACAGAGAAUGGACACGUUCCUGCGUACUCAGUCCCCAGCGGGCAGGAGUGAUGUCCUCGAGCCGCCUUCCUCUGUGGCGCCGCGGUCCCAGGGAGCCUGUGUCUCCGGGAGCAGGGCCGGUCGCUCUGGCCGCCAAGGCGGACGGGGUGAGGACGUGCCCGCGGCGGGGCUCGGGGCCCGGCCCUAACCAGCGCAGUGCGACAUUACCGCAGGCAGCUGUCUGAGGAAAUCCCUCACAGAAACACCGUCAACUUUCGACUCCUGAAAUGGCUUGUGAAAGUUAAAAAUGCUCUGUAAGCUGAGUGUCUGCAAGCAAAGUACCUUCUGUCUGGUCUUCUCUGAGAAGCACAAAAGCUGAAGACAACGGAGGGAAAUUGAAGAGAGCAAGAGGCCAUGAAAAACUUGAUGUGUUCUGUUCACCCAGAAGAUUUCCUGAAGGAUGCAUAAAUCUGACAUGAGAAUACAUGAAUAACAGUUUGAUGGUACCAGAUUUUCUUUUUUGACCUCACCAAAUGUCACCUUGUAGCAAUACCAAUCAUCCUAUGUGGGCAGAGAAAAGGAAUGAUGAGAGACAAGUUGUUUCUUUCUUGUGUAUUUAGUUGGCAUUAUUAAUCCUUUGAGCAUCUAGUGAAUCUUUAGACAUACUUUGAAGAAUCUGUGGUUGCAUUUGGUUUGGUUAAUUUUGAUUCAUGGGGAGAGAUCAAAGGAUCUUGAGAACUCUGUUGUGGUUACCCAGAGCUGCACGUUUUCUUUGUGGUAAUGUGCAGUAAUAAAAUGCCUUGAGAGAUACCAUGAGAUUUGUCAAGUGGAUUACCUCAUGGUGGAUGUCUCACCUUGUAGCAGUGAAAAUGGAGUGUAGUUGUGUGGAUGUUGGGUAAGGAGGAAACCAUGGAUGAAAGACAGGAAAAAACAAAGAUGUUACAAGAAGAGCAAACAGUGACAACAACAUUUAGGGUAUUAGAACUAACAAUUGAAAGGAGACACAUUAUAUUCAGAAUUUUUUUGAUCUUCUGGAUUAUAUUCAGACUUCAAAAUUGGUAUGACAUAAUAGGUUAAAACCUCUUAAA